GGCGCAAAUUUGAAGCAGAGUAGAUUAGCAUGGUCAGCUGAUCCUACUGAUACUACUCUGCUUCAAAUUUGGGGCA
rfam:Haemonchus placei strain MHpl1 genome assembly, scaffold: HPLM_scaffold0001268